AGUCGAACGGUGAACACGGAGCUUGCUCUGUGGGAUCAGUGGCGAACGGGUGAGUAACACGUGAGCAACCUGCCCCUGACUCUGGGAUAAGCGCUGGAAACGGCGUCUAAUACUGGAUAUGUGACGUGACCGCAUGGUCUGCGUCUGGAAAGAAUUUCGGUUGGGGAUGGGCUCGCGGCCUAUCAGCUUGUUGGUGAGGUAAUGGCUCACCAAGGCGUCGACGGGUAGCCGGCCUGAGAGGGUGACCGGCCACACUGGGACUGAGACACGGCCCAGAUUCCUACGGGAGGCAGCAGUGGGGAAUAUUGCACAAUGGGCGCAAGCCUGAUGCAGCAACGCCGCGUGAGGGACGACGGCCUUCGGGUUGUAAACCUCUUUUAGCAGGGAAGAAGCGAAAGUGACGGUACCUGCAGAAAAAGCGCCGGCUAACUACGUGCCAGCAGCCGCGGUAAUACGUAGGGCGCAAGCGUUAUCCGGAAUUAUUGGGCGUAAAGAGCUCGUAGGCGGUUUGUCGCGUCUGCUGUGAAAUCCGGAGGCUCAACCUCCGGCCUGCAGUGGGUACGGGCAGACUAGAGUGCGGUAGGGGAGAUUGGAAUUCCUGGUGUAGCGGUGGAAUGCGCAGAUAUCAGGAGGAACACCGAUGGCGAAGGCAGAUCUCUGGGCCGUAACUGACGCUGAGGAGCGAAAGGGUGGGGAGCAAACAGGCUUAGAUACCCUGGUAGUCCACCCCGUAAACGUUGGGAACUAGUUGUGGGGUCCAUUCCACGGGAUUCCGUGACGCAGCUAACGCAUUAAGUUCCCCGCCCUGGGGAGUACGGGCCGCAUGGCUAGAACUCAGAGGAAUUGACGGGGGCCCGCACAAGCGGCGGAGCAUGUGGCAUUAAUUCGAUGCAACGCGAAGAACCUUA
rnacentral:rRNA from 1 species